rnacentral:rRNA from 1 species
AGUGAACGCUGGCGGUAGGCCUAACACAUGCAAGUCGAACGGCAGCACAGUAAGAGCUUGCUCUUACGGGUGGCGAGUGGCGGACGGGUGAGGAAUACAUCGGAAUCUACUUUUUCGUGGGGGAUAACGUAGGAAAACUUACGCUAAUACCGCAUACGACCUACGGGUGAAAGCAGGGGAUCUUCGGACCUUGCGCGAUUGAAUGAGCCGAUGUCGGAUUAGCUAGUUGGCGGGGUAAAGGCCCACCAAGGCGACGAUCCGUAGCUGGUCUGAGAGGAUGAUCAGCCACACUGGAACUGAGACACGGUCCAGACUCCUACGGGAGGCAGCAGUGGGGAAUAUUGGACAAUGGGCGCAAGCCUGAUCCAGCCAUGCCGCGUGGGUGAAGAAGGCCUUCGGGUUGUAAAGCCCUUUUGUUGGGAAAGAAAAGCAGCAGGUUAAUACCCCGCUGUUCUGACGGUACCCAAAGAAUAAGCACCGGCUAACUUCGUG